AGAGCUAUGGGGCACGGAUCUAUGGGGCAGAAAUCAAUGGGGUAUCCAUGGGGUGAAUCUAUGGGGCAGCAUCUAUGGGGCAGGGAGAGCUAUGGGGCAGCAUCUAUGGGGCAGCACGGAUCUAUGGGGCAGCACGGAUCUAUGGGGCAGGGAAAGCUGUGGGGCAGAGCUGGGGGGCAGCACGGAUCUAUGGGGCAGAGCUAUGGGGCAGAAAUCUAUGGGGCAGCACGGAGCUAUGGAGCAGGGUUGUGGGUCCAGCUGUAGCUAUAGGGGAGGGAGAGCUAUGGGGCACGGAUCUAUGGGGCAGGAGACCGAAAUCUAUGGGGCAGGAGAGAGAAAUCUAUGGGUCAGAAGUUCUUGAUGGAGCCAAAAUCUAUGGGGCAGGAGACCAAAAUCUAUGGGUCUGAAGGUCUCUAUGGGGCCAAAAUCUAUGGGGCAGGAGGUCUCGAUGGAGCCAAAAUCUAUGGGG
rnacentral:lncRNA from 1 species